GGGCCCGCACAAGCGGUGGAGUAUGUGGUUUAAUUCGAUGCAACGCGAAGAACCUUACCAGGGUUUGACAUCCUGCGAAUCUUUUGGAAACGAGAGAGUGCCUUCGGGAACGCAGUGACAGGUGGUGCAUGGCUGUCGUCAGCUCGUGUCGUGAGAUGUUGGGUUAAGUCCCGCAACGAGCGCAACCCACGUCUUUAGUUGCCAGCAUUUAGUUGGGCACUCUAGAGAGACUGCCGGUGAUAAACCGGAGAAGGUGUGGAUGACGUCAAGUCAUCAUGCCCCUUACAUCUGGGCUACACACGUACUACAAUGCUACGGACAAAGGGCUGCAAGUUCGCGAGGACAAGCAAAUCCCAUAAACGUGGCUCAG
rnacentral:rRNA from 1 species